GUCACAAGGUGAGGCAGAAAACAAUAUCCACGUCUACGUAACAAAUAAAAGAUUGUUGAAACUGACAAAAGAUAACCAAGCAUACCAGAAGUGCCUUCCAGUUAAGAACCACCCCACAUCAGACAUCUGGAAAUUGAAGAGUAAAAUUAUAAGCACGGGAAACUCUAGCUAGAAGAGAAAAUGUAGUAGGAAAAAAUAACUAUUAUGUACUCCCUUUGCAACCCUCGAUUAACAACAUAUUAAUUGACAAUAUCAAAGAUUUUUCCGUGUCCAAAAACCAGACCAAGAUAGCCCCCACAUUAAGCUCCUAUUGCGAUGGUAUCAAAACCUAUUUUGUAUCUCCUGUCAUAGGGUGAGGGCCAAAUCAAUAUCCAAGUCUACAUAACAACAAAAUAACUAUAAUAGAAAGAGCAAGGGUAACCAAUUAUCAAACCAGAACUGCCUUCCAUUUAAGCUUGAUUAAAAACCACACAACAAUCAAGCAUCUGGAAAUUGAAGAGAAUAAAGAUAAGUAUGAGAAAGUCUAGGUGGAAGAUAAAUUUUAGUAGAAAAAAUUACUAUAAAAUACUCCCUCUGCUACCCUGGAUAAAACCUAUAUCAGAGACAGCGUGAAAGGUUUGAUCUGUGUCCAAUAACUUGACCAAGAUUAGCCCCACCUUAUGCUCCCUACUUUGAUAAAAUCAAAACUUAAAUUUUAUCUCCUGCCAUAGGAUGAGGAGAAAACAAUAUCCACGUCUACGUAGCAAACAAAAAACUGAUGAAAAAGAGAACCAAGCAUCAAACCAGAAGUGUCUUCAAGUUAAGAACCACACAACGACCAGACACCUGGGAUUGAAGAGUAUAACGAUGGAGAGUAUAACGAUAAGAACCAGAAACUCUGGGUAGAAUAGAAUAUGUAGAAGAUAAAAUACUAUUCUGUUCUCCAUCUGCCUCCCUCAAUAAACACUAUAUCAAUGCCGGCAUCAUAGAUUAGUCCAUGUCCAAAAACCCAACCAAGAUAGCCCCAACUUAGAGCUCCUACUUUGAUAGAAUUAAAACCUAUUUUGUAUCUCCUGUAACAGGGUGAGGCCCAAAACAAUAUCCAAGUCAACAUAACAACACAAAAACUACAUUUACAGAGCAAACGUAACCAAUUAUCAAACCAGCCUUCCCGUGAAGCUUGAUUAAGAACCACACAGAGAUCAGGCAUCUGCAAAUUGAUGAGAACAACAGUAAGCACGCGAUAGUCUAGGGAGAAGAUAAAAUGUUGUAAAAAAAAAUACUAUUCGAUACUCCCUCUGCCACACUCGAUAUUAACAGCGUCAAAGGUUUAUCUUCCGAUAACCAGAUUAGCCCCACCUUAAGCUCCUUCUUUUAAUACUUAAUUUUUAUCUCCUGUCAUAGGGUGAGGCAGAAAACAAUAUCCACGUCUACGUAACAAACAAAAAAUUGUUGAAACUGACAAAAGAUAACCAAGCAUCAAACCAGAAGUGCCUUCCAGUUAAGAACCACUGAACCACACAACGAAUCAUCAGACAUCUGGAGAUUGAAGAGUAUAACUAUAAGCACGGGAAACUUUAGGUAGAAGAGAAAAUGUAGUAGAAAAAAAAUACUACUCCAUGUACUCUUCCUAUUGCCACCCUUGAUUAACAAUAUACCAAUGACAGCAUCAAAGAUUUUUCCGUGCCAAAAACCAGACCAAGAUAGCCCCCACAUUAAGCUCCUAUUGUGAUAGAAUCAAAACCUAUUUUGUAUCUCCUGUCACAGAGUGAGGCCCAAAACAAUAUCGAGUCUACAUAACAACAAAAGAACUAAAAUAAAGAGAGCAAAGGUAACCAAUUAUCAAACCAGAACAGCCUUCCAGUGAAGCUAGAUUAAGAAGCUCAGAGCGAUCAAGCAUCUGAAAAUUGAUGAGAACGGUAAGCAAGGGCAAGUCUAGGUAGAGGAUAAAAUGUUGUAAAAAAAUUACUAUACUAUACUUCCUCUGCAACCCUUGAUAAAAACACAAUAUCAAUUUGUCAGCGUCAAAUGUUGGUCCGUGGCCAACAACCAGACCAAGAUUAGCACCACCAUAAGUUCCUAAUUUGAUAGAAUCAAAACAUAAUUUUUAUCUCCUGUCAUAGGGUGAGGCAGAAAACAUAAAUUCAUCAUGAUGAUCUUGAGGCUCCUCACCAGCGAUUAAUCUGUGGCCAGAGAAGAGAACAAUUGAGUAAAUUCAUAACUAUCAGCGUUUCCACCAACUGCCGAUAACCAUCAAACUAUCAGCGCGAAAGGAAAAGGACAAAAUAAACCUUCUGGCUUGAGAGAUCACGAGCUAUCCAAUCGGUUGCCCUACAGAUACAAACGAAAGUAAGCCCCGAUAACCAAUACGGCAGAGGAAAUCAUGAUCUAAAUAGACCGUCAAAACUUGAACUAUAAAAUCUGCACUCGUUGCGAAUAACUGAAUAUUAACCCAAAUCAGCAGAAGGAAUCACAAUAACCGAUCUACACAAAUCAAAUACGUCAAAGUAGAUUGAACAGAAAUCCUCCGCUAGGUCAUCUAUCCUCGCCGCCAUAUGUCAUACCAGACAGGGAAGGCUAAUGGAAAUCGCAACACAAGGAGAGAGUAACCCGAUCGAAAACACAAAACUUAAUCGCCAACGAAAUCGCACCACAAAACACAAUAACCCUAGAUAUGAAUUCAGGAGAAGAGGGCCACAAUAGAAGAAAAAUAAUAGCGAAACACGCAAAGAGGGGGGAUGGGUAGGAGAAUGUGGGGAGAUAUGGUAUAUAUAGUGAGUCAUAGAGAGACUUG
rnacentral:lncRNA from 1 species